GCGGCCGUGGCGGAACUGGCAUACGCGCACGUUUGAGGGGCGUGUGGGAGACCGUACGAGUUCGAAUCUCGUCGGCCGCACCA
rnacentral:tRNA from 1 species